rnacentral:rRNA from 1 species
GACAGAGGAUGCAAGCGUUAUCCGGAAUUAUUGGGCGUAAAGGGUGCGUAGGUGGCCUGACAAGUUAUCAGUGGCAAAUCGAGGCUCAACCUCGUGGAAACUGGUAAUACUGUUCGGCUUGAGUACAGGAGAGGUUAACGGAACUCUAUGUGGAGCGGUAAAAUGCACAGAUAUAUAGAAGAACAUCAAUAAAGGCGAAGGCAGUUAACUAUUCUGUUACUGACGCUGAGGCACGAAAGCGUGGGGAGCAAAACGG